rnacentral:rRNA from 1 species
AGAGUUUGAUCCUGGUUCAGAACGAACGCUGGCGGCGUGGCUAAGACAUGCAAGUCGCACGCACUAUGCUUAACCGUAUGGUGAGUGGCGAAAGGGUGAGGAAUAGAUAGGUAACGUACCCUGUGCACCGGAAUAGCGUCGUAAGUAGCAAUACUUACUACCGAAAGGGGCGGUAAUACCGGAUAAUGUUGUUGAUCGCAUGAUUGAUAACCAAUGGAUUUAUCGGCACAGGAGCGGCCUUUCUCCUAUCAGCUAGUUGGCGAGGUAAUGGCUCACCAAGGCUUUGACGGGUACCGGGAUUGAGAGAUCGACCCGGCACAUCGGAACUGAGACACUGUCCGGACCUCCACGGAGGGCUGCAGUAACGAAUAUUGGGCAAUGGGCGCAAGCCUGACCCAGCGACGCCGCGUGAAGGAUGAAGUCCUUCGGGAUGUAAACUCUUUUAGGGUGCUGAAAGUCCGCAAGGAUUGAUCUAACCCAGAAAAAGUCACGGCUAACUCUGUGCCAGCAGCCGCGGUAAUACAGAGGUGGCAAGCGUUGUUCGGAAUCACUGGGCUUAAAGCGUGUGUAGGCAGAUCAGUAAGUGUCUUGUGAAAUCCCUCGUCUCAACCGAGGAACUGCUGGGCAAACUACUAAUCUUGAGGUAGGCAGGGGUGCUUGGAACUCUUGGUGGAGCGGUGAAAUGCGUAGAUAUCAAGAGGAACGCCUGUGGCGAAAGCGGAGCACUGGGCCUAUUCUGACGCUGAGACACGAAAGCGUGGGGAGUGAACGGGAUUAGAUACCCCGGUAAUCCACGCUGUAAACGAUGCAUACUUGGUGUUGGGAACUCUGACGUUCUCAAGACCGAAACAAAAGCGUUAAGUAUGCCGCCUGGGGAGUACGGUCGCAAGGCUAAAACUCAAAGGAAUUGACGGGGGCUCACACAAGCGGUGGAGCAUGUGGUUCAAUUCGAAGCAACGCGCAGAACCUUACCUGGGUUUGACAUGCUUGGAUGGCUUUCUGGAAACAGAGUAGUCUGCCCGCAAGGGUGAAACAAGCACAGGUGCUGCAUGGCUGUCGUCGGCUCGUGUCGUGAGAUGUCGGGUUAAGUCCCAUAACGAGCGAAACCCCUGCUGUUAGUUACUCACUCCGCAAGGAGAGGACUCUAGCAGGACUGCCGGUGUUAAACCGGAGGAAGGCGGGGAUGACGUCAAGUCCUCAUGGCCUUUAUGCCCAGGGCGACACACGUGCUACAAUGGUGGCUACAAAGCGAUGCAAGGCCGCAAGGCGGAGCAAAUCGCAUAAAAGUCAUCUCAGUCCGGAUUGAGGGCUGCAAUUCGCCCUCAUGAAGUUGGAAUCGCUAGUAAUCGUGAAUCAGCCAUGUCACGGUGAAUGUGUUCCUGAGCCUUGUACACACCGCCCGUCAAGUGAUGGAAGCCGGAAAUACCCAAAGUCAGUUUGCAAACCCGCAAGGG